CCCCUCUCAGGGUUGUACCUGGAGAGUUUCCAGUCCUCUACCAGUCUUGGCUAUGGGAGGGAGAGUCAGGCAGAAGCCUGUCCAUUCCAUUCCUAGCUUGGCCAGUGGCUAGCGAGUGGAAGGCCAUCUCCUUCAAGG